UUUUUCCUUUUGAUCUUCAUUUUUCCACUCUAAUUUUCUCUCUCUCUUUUCUUUUCUCUUUUCUCUUUUUCUUUUCUUUUUCUCUCGGUCUCUCUUUGUGCGAAUUCAUCAUGGGACUUUUUAAGUUGCAUUUGGUCUUUAAAAACUUGUUUAGGGGUUAAAGGAAGAAGAGUAUACUUUUUGCCCUCUUUUCCUAUCAUGUACCUAUUGAGAUACCCAUCAUGCAUCACUCUCCUAUCCCAUUGCCAUGGUCUACCCAGCAAAAUAUGACUAGCUUGCAUAGGAACUACAUCACAUAUCACCUCAUCACUAUACUUCCCAAUAGUAAAAGGCACCCUCACUUGCUUAUUAACUCUCACCUCCCCACUAUUGUUAAGCCAUUGCAGCUUAUAAGGUUUAGGAUGUUUUGUAGUUUCCAACCCAGUUUAUAAACAAAUAAGGUACUAGCCACAUUUACACAACUACCCCCAUCAAUAAUCAUGCUACACAAUUUUUCAUUCACUAGACAUCUAGAAUGAAAAAUGUUCUCUCUUUGCAACUUAACCCCCUCAUCAUCAUUCCUUACUUGCAUAUUCAAAGCACGUCUAGAAACCAACAAUCUAUCUUCCAUAGGCAAAUCCCUAUCACUACAAUCCUCCACAUUUUCUCAUCAUCUAAAUCAACACCAUCACCACGCAUCACCAUUACCCUUUUAUUCGGGCAUUGAGAUGCAAUAUGACCAAAACCUAAGCCUCUGAAACACUUGAUAUCUCCUAGGAGUUUGGGAGUUAGAAAUACCUUUGUUUUUAUUAUCAUUAGCAUCUUUUGGCUUAGUUUUG
rnacentral:lncRNA from 1 species